UUUAUUAUGAUUUUUUCUUUUAGUAUUAAAUUUCUGAAUAAAAAGAGGUCUCGUAAAAGAAAAUUUUACCUAUGGCCCUAGAUACUCUAAAAUCAGCCUUGGCUAAUUUCUCUAACUUUUAAAAUAAGUAUUUUAAAUAUCAAGUUCUCUACAAAAUCUUAAAAAAAAAAAACUAUUUCUUGUAGGAUUGGAUAGCGACGAAUGAAUAUAGGCAUCCACAAGAUUCCAAAUCAGUUGUUGGGUUUUCAGAAAACACAAAAUAACAAGCAGACAAAUUCAGGCACAAAAGGCUUAUAGUUGUGGCUCCACAAUCACGCAGUCCAGAUCAGCUCCCAUCCAUGUAAUCAAUAUAUGGUCCAACUAGAUGCCUCGUGACUUUUCUCACCCGACUAACAGCGAGUCAAGAUAUCUACACCGUCACCGUCACUGCACUUACCGCAUUCAGAAUUUUCAGAUCCACCUGUCCAUAACCUUCCCCAGGUCACUGCCACCGGAGUCCCCGCCACCACCAUAGCUCCAAUCGCCAUCAGUCCCUAAUUACCAAAUCACCAACCCAACAGCUCACAUCCGCCUAACAGGCCGAUAUCCUUCGUUUGAUAUUUUUCUUUUGUUUUUCUUUUAUUUAUUUUGAGUCUCCUAAUUAUUUUAUGUUUUAAUUUUUUUCUAAUUUUUUAAUUUUUCUAUUUCCUUUUCUUUAUGGUGCUUGUUUUCUGCUCCCGAGAUCUUUUAUAUAUGAUCGUAAAUGGUGUCGAUUCACAGUUUGGAUCAGAAUCGUAGCAGUGUUGAGAUGGAGAGAGUUUGCUUAUAUUGGAGUUGAUGAAUAAUUCUUUUUUUUCGUUUACCAUCUGAUUUCCAGCGAUGGUCCCGACUAAUCCUUUGAGAUAUAAUCACAGUUAAGAUUCCUUAUUCUUCUCAAAUGAUAUAUUUAGUGGAAAUCAAACUCGAGAGUUGAUGAAUAAUUCUAAUGGUGGUGCAAUGAGAUUUCGAUGACCUGGCCAUGUCGCUGAUGGCAUGGGUUGAGGCCUCAUCGAGAGUCAGGCUGGGAAUACUUGAAAUGAAGUGGUUAUCAUUGCUGAGGUUUUGUAGUUUUUUAGUUCUGUUUUGUAGUUAAUUAGCAUUAUGUUGUGGUGUAUUCUAUUAUUUUUUAUAUUCUUAUUUUCUUAUCCCAUAUAUUGUGCAAUAUGGUCUUGUAUUUAUGUCUAUAAUAUAUUAUAUUGUUAGUCAUUAUUAAUCUUCAAUGAUUGUGUUUGUAUAAAUAUAUAUAUAUAUAUAUAUAUAUAUAUAUAUAUAUAUAUAUAUAUAUAUAUGUAGCAUAUUCCAAGAAGGUUUUGACAAAAAAAAAGUUGUUUGGUCCACUGAAAACUGUACCUGGCUAAGACAAAAUCCGCUGUAAAUACGUGUCCUUGUUUAAUCAUCAUCUCGAACGUCAUUCUAUCAAAGUGCAAGCCCUAUUUAAACCUCCCACCAUGUGCACUCAGACUCGAGUGUGCACGCAAAUGCCAAAAAACAAGCACAUG
rnacentral:lncRNA from 1 species